UGAUUAAUGUAUAUUGAUGAACUCUAUUUAGCCCAUUUGGCUGUGUUCGAUCAUUUCAAAAAAAAAAAAAAAAAAAAAAUAGGUUGCCCAUUAUAUCUAUUGUGUUGGAUGGUAACCAAAUUUUUGAAUUUUUGAUUAUUGUACAUUAAGUGUUUAGCCCAUUUGGCUAUGUUCGAUCAUUUAAAAAAAGAAAAAAGAAAGAAGUUGCCCAUUAUAUCCAUUGUGUUGGAUGGUAACCAGAUUUUGAAUUUAUGAUUAUUGUAAAUUGAUGAACUAUGUUCAGCCCAUUUGGCUAUGUUCGAUAAUUUCAAAAAAAAAAAAAAAAAAAAAAAGUUUGCCGAUUAUAUCCAUUGUGUUGGAUGGUAAUUAGAUAUUGAAUUUAUGAUUAUUUUACAUCGAUGAACUGUGUUUAGCCCAUUUGGCUAUGUUUGAUAAUUUCAAAAAAAUAAAGAAAACAUGUUUGCCGAUUAUGUCCAUUGUGUUGGAUGGUAACCAGAUAUUGAAUUUAUGAUUAUUUUACAUCGAUGAACUGUGUUUAGCCCAUUUGGCUAUGUUCGAUCAUUUAAUAAUAAUAAUAAUAAAAAAAAAAUAAUAGGUUGCCGAUUAUAUCCCUUUUGUUGGAUGGUAACCGGAUUUUGAUUCUAUGGUUAAUGUACAUUGAUGAACUGUGUUUAGCCCUUUUGGCUAUGUUCAAUCAUUUUUUAAAAAAAGGUUUCGGAUUAUAUGCAUUGUGUUGGAUUGUAACCGGAUUUUGAAUUUAUGAUUAAUGUAUAUUGAUGAACUUAUUUUAGCCGAUUAUAUCCAUUGUGUUGGAUGGUAACCAGAUUUUGAAUUUAUGAUAAAUGUAUAUUGAUGAACUGUGUUUAGCCCAUUUGGCUAUGUUCAAUCAUUUAUAAAAGAAUAGGUUGCCGAUUAUAUCCAUUGUGUUUGAUGGUAACCGGAUUUUGAAUUUAACAUUAAUGUAUAUUGAGGAACUGUGUUUAGCCCAUUUGACUCUGUUCUAUCAUUAACAAAAUGGUUGACGAUUAUAUAAUUUGUGUUUGAUGGUAAACGGAUGGUUGCCGAUUAUAUACUUUGUGUUGGGAUGGUAAUCGGAUUUUUAAUUUAUAAUUAAUGUAUAUUGAUGAACUGUGUUUGCCCAUUUGGCUAUGUUCUAUCAUACAAAAAGAGAGUUGCUCAUUAUAUUCAUUGUGUUGUAUGGUAAUUAGAUUUUGAAUUCAUGACUAAUGUAUAUUGAUGAACUUAUUUUAGCCCAUUUGUUAAAUGAUUGACCAUUUCAGUCUUAUUGUCUGAAUGCCCACUAUAGACAUUGUGUAUGCUGGUGACAUGAUUUCGAAUUGAUGUGCUGCCAAAUUGCAAAUUUGUCAUAUUUUCCUUUCUAUCUCAAAGUUUAUAACGGGCUAGCGACAAAUUUACAUAUAUUAAUAUACUUUUUGCCAAAUUUUCAAGUAUACAAUUGAAUAUUUCUAGACAACGUCAAAAACCCAAGGAGUUCCGCAACACAGUCCAGAUGGUACAGCCACACCGCAACGCCACCCAGCCGUUUCAGCCUGCAACCGGUGAAUCUGAACCCGCAACAACUUGUGGUUGUGGUGAGCCUUGUUGCAGAACACCAUUGUUCCUUGUUUGCGCAGCGAAGGGGCAUUUUGGCUGAUGAUUCGCUGCACUGUCAGACAGUGUUGAACAAAAUGGAUAUGUGAGCUUGUACACUCGAACUCAAACUCCUCGAAUAUAAGUGCUAAAGGUCACGCAUUAUGUGUGGGAGACGUUAGUAUUGUAAGUAUUUGUGUACUUCGCAUAAUUCUUCAUUCAUCAAAGGACGAUCAGAAAAAAGGCGAAGGAGUAGCUAUUUAUUUACAACCUUGCACAUUGUUCUACUUGACCCCUGGAUUUACUAGAGAGUUAUAUGGUUGUUCGACCAUCUAGUGCUUCAAACUAGUUAUUUGUUUGUUUAUUUAAACGGUCUACCCGUCAUACGCUGUCAGUUUAGUGUGUUCUAAAGAAAUCUUUGACUGCCAUUCCAUAUAAACCACAUUUAUUUAGAGUAGGUGCUGCAACAGCAGCAUGUCUGCUUACGAUAUUACAAGAAUGGGGCGUUGCGCCCCGGAUUAAAGUGCACUUAAAUCUUGCAUUAGAAUCCUCUCACGUCAGCUGUUGUCACUCAGAUCUUACGCCUAUAAGCAGUUUCAUUGUACCUGCCAUAUGUUGCCCUUUUUUGUUGACAAUUGUUUUCAGCUUUUCAGUGCGUCCUACCCAUAUUUGGAUAGUUUGAUGUUCAAUUUUAAAGUCGGUAUUUCGUUACGACAAGGAAUCAGCUGAGGGUUCUCAACUUGUAAUGCAGCGUCAUAAUGCGACUAUACUGUGUCAGAGUCAGGAUGGUAUGAAAUGGCGGCAAGUUAAACCAUUAAUCUUACACUUGUUUCCUUUUGAAGACAAUCAAGGUAUCAUUGUUAUUCAUUGAGUAAUUAAUUUAUUUUUCAUAACAGAGAGCUAGAAAACGCGUUAAUAAUUUCGCUGCUCAUUUGUUGUUGUUUUUUAAAUACAUUGGUGGAUACGUUCGUUAACCAGAAAUCGUCGAAUCCGUGACGGGUCUCUUCAACAGGGAUGGGGUGCACUUGUCAUAAUUUGGAAAUAUUUUGUUUUUAUUCACUCUGCAACACAAGCGUCAGUCCUUUUUAGCAGUAAAUUGUUAAGGCACAGCUUCUCAGGCAGGGUUUGCUUCGCUAUACUGGUGGCGGUUGUCAAGAAUUUUCCACGUUGUUCCAAAUUCUCGACAUGUGGCGGUUAGGUCAGCCUCCACCAGUAUAUCUUAACGUUGUGUAAUAAGUUUGUUUGUUUCAAGUAUACUGUAUUAGGCCUCUGUUCACAGGGCCUCCACAUCUGCAUUUUAAACAUAUACUUUAUAUCAUAUGUAUUUGUAUAUUGACAUUUAUGUGAAGCUGUGACCAAUUUCUGCCAACCAUUAAUUUAAACGAAAUUAGAUACUAAUUGCUUGCUAUAGUAAAAUUAUUAAUAGUAAAAGUAAUGUAUUCAUACAACUGUCUUGGGUUGUUCUUUUUAGUAUUAUUAUUUCUGUGCCAAGCUAUCUUCAGUAAUGUGUUUUUAAUGAUUACCAUUCAAAACCUGUUACUGAAGGAGCUCUUAUCCUGUUGUAAGGGCCCGCUUUAGCUUAUGUCUUGUUGGUAUAUUAAUAUACUUGUUGCGAUUUAAUCUCCUUUUGGGUCCUUUCAGUUUUGCACAUGGAAGAAGAAGGUCGUUUGCAAAUAGAUGCGAGGGUUGAUUUUGCUUCUUAUCGAAGGAAUCCUCGAUUGUUUAUACUUGCUGAUGUUUAAUAUCCCACCCUCCACUCCCCUUAUUUUGCUUGUGUUCUCCUUUUUCUUUAUAAUUUCAGGUACAUCUUAUGUGUUCAAGUUCAGCC